GGGGAGGAGCGACGGGAAGAAAAUGCUAAGAGAAAAACAUGUUGUUUCAAUCUUGAAGUUUACAAUUCCAGUUUGAAGCUAUAACUUAAUACCAUAUAUUCCCAGUGUGACACCCAUCCCAAGGUAACCAAAGGUUAUGCCCGCUGAAGUACGACCACCUUGUGCCAUUCUCCAUUGAGAGCCUGCACACUGACUGAGCAUCGGGAUACCCAUCCAGAGGAAACUACACAUUACACCAGCACCAGCUGAUCGUCACGUGCCAACCUCAUGCGAGAACCUGUGGAAUUCAUGUGCCAUCCUCCUGCGAGAUCCUAUGGAUUUAACAGAUCAUCCCAGCUCCAGCUCAGGCAAUCUCCAUCAACAACCAAGAGCAAAGAUUUCAUUUUAAUACUAUUACUAACUUUUGUUUGUUUUUGUCUUUCUUCCUGUAAAGCUACUUUGAAAUAAUGAAACAUUGUGAAAAGUUUUAUAUAAAUAAAACUGAAUUAAAUUUUAA